rnacentral:rRNA from 1 species
GACGAACGCUGGCGGCGUGCUUAACACAUGCAAGUCGAACGGAAAGGCCCUGCUUUUGUGGGGUGCUCGAGUGGCGAACGGGUGAGUAACACGUGAGUAACCUGCCCUUGACUUUGGGAUAACUUCAGGAAACUUGGGCUAAUACCGGAUAGGAGCUCCUGCUGCAUGGUGGGGGUUGGAAAGUUUCGGCGGUUGGGGAUGGACUCGCGGCUUAUCAGCUUGUUGGUGGGGUAGUGGCUUACCAAGGCUUUGACGGGUAGCCGGCCUGAGAGGGUGACCGGCCCCAUUGGGCCUGAGAUACGACACAGACUCCUAUGGGAGGCAGCAGUGGGGAAUAUUGCACAAUGGGCGGAAGCCUGAUGCAGCAACGCCGCGUGCGGGAUGACGGCCUUCGGGUUGUAAACCGCUUUCGCCUGUGACGAAGCGUGAGUGACGGUAAUGGGUAAAGAAGCACCGGCUAACUACGUG